GAUGAAGAACGCAGCGAAAUGCGAUACGUAAUGUGAAUUGCAGAAUUCAGUGAAUCAUCGAGUCUUUGAACGCUCAUUGCGGCCCCUGGUAUUCCGGGGGGCAUGCCUGUCCGAGCGUCAUUGCUGCCCUCAAGCACGGCUUGUGUGUUGGGCCUCCGUCCUCCUCCCGGGGGACGGGCCCGAAAGGCAGCGGCGGCACCGCGUCCGGUCCUCGAGCGUAUGGGGCUUCGUCACCCGCUCUUGUAGGCCCGGCCGGCGCUUGCCGACACAUCAAUCUUUUUUCCAGGUUGACCUCGGAUCAGGUAGGGAUACCCGCUGAACUUAAGCAUAUCAAUAAGCGGAGGA
rnacentral:misc_RNA from 1 species